GUUAUGUAGAGCUCAGGCACCAUCUACUGUUCCUUUUUGGUAUAGCUCUAGUUCUGCAUAUAUUGUAACUCAGGAGGUUUAAAUAAAGUUGUUAGAAAGUACAGUAUUAUGGGCAGACCUUCUACAGGAAGUGUAUCAGCCUCCAUUUUGGGAAGAUACAGUAAGCAGCAAGUCAUGUUCUUCUCAUCCCUAGCCAUCACCGUUAGAGAGCUUAAAAAAUGAGUUCUUGUUAUCCUAUCCUGUAUUAUUGAUCCUUGUUUCUUUGUUGUAUGCAGUACUGUACUGAUUGAUGUUUAUUUCUACUAUUUUGUAGUUUCACCUGGCUUGUUCUUAUAAAUUUGAGAUCAAAGAAAUAUGGUAUCUGAAGUUUAUGGAGCAGGAAGGUUUAGCUCUCUGUCCUAG